GCCAUCCCAGUGUUCAGGAGGCUGGGCCAUGUACAGUAGUCUGCACAUUGGUCAGGC
ensembl:miRNA Mir199a-1 microRNA 199a-1